GACGAACGCUGGCGGCGUGCUUAACACAUGCAAGUCGAGCGGUAAGGCCCUUUCGGGGGUACGACGAGCGGCGAACGGGUGAGUAACACGUGGGUGACCUGCCUUUAGCUCUGGGAUAAGCCUGGGAAACCGGGUCUAAUACCGGAUAUGACUCCGCGGCGCAUGUUGUGGGGUGGAAAGCCUUGUGCGGCUGGAGAUGGGCCCGCGGCCUAUCAGCUUGUUGGUGGGGUGAUGGCCUACCAAGGCGACGACGGGUAGCCGGCCUGAGAGGGCGACCGGCCACACUGGGACUGAGACACGGCCCAGACUCCUACGGGAGGCAGCAGUGGGGAAUCUUGCGCAAUGGGCGAAAGCCUGACGCAGCGACGCCGCGUGAGGGAUGACGGCC
rnacentral:rRNA from 1 species